GACGAACGCUGGCGGCGUGCUUAACACAUGCAAGUCGAACGGAAAGGCCCCUUUGGGGGUACUCGAGUGGCGAACGGGUGAGUAACACGUGAGUAACCUGCCCUUGACUUCGGGAUAACUUCAGGAAACUGGGGCUAAUACCGGAUAGGAAUCCUUGCUGCAUGGUGGGGGUUGGGAAGCUUCGGCGGUUUUGGAUGGACUCGCGGCUUAUCAGCUUGUUGGUGGGGUAGUGGCUUACCAAGGCUUUGACGGGUAGCCGGCCUGAGAGGGCGACCGGCCACAUUGGGACUGAGAUACGGCCCAGACUCCUACGGGAGGCAGCAGUGGGGAAUAUUGCACAAUGGGCGGAAGCCUGAUGCAGCAACGCCGCGUGCGGGAUGACGGCCUUCGGGUUGUAAACCGCUUUCAGCAGGGGCGAAGCUUGUGGUGACGGUACCUGCAGAAGAAGCACCGGCUAACUACGUG
rnacentral:rRNA from 1 species